rnacentral:rRNA from 1 species
GUGACCUCAAAUCAGGUAGGACUACCCGCUGAACUUAAGCAUAUCAAUAAGCGGAGGAAAAGAAACUAACAAGGAUUCCCCUAGUAACUGCGAGUGAAGCGGGAAAAGCUCAAAUUUAAAAUCUGGCAGUCUUUGGC